UCUUUUCAGAAGUUUCUUUAAUUUCACUAUAUCUAUUACACUUCUCAGGUUUUAUUUCUUCUUUCAUGUUCUUACCCUAGGGAGACAAUAUGAUGUGUGCACAU